CCCUUAGAUGUUCUGGGCCGCACGCGCGCUACACUGAUGCAUUCAACGAGUUUCUUCCUGGUCCGAGAGGAAUGGGUAACCUUAUGAAAGUGCAUCGUGAUAGGGAUAGACUAUUGCAAUUAUUGGUCUUCAACGAGGAAUUCCUAGUAGACGUAGUUCAUCAGACUGCAUCGAUUACGUCCCUGCCCUUUGUACACACCGCCCGUCGCUCCUACCGAUUGAAUGCUCAGGUGAGCCAUUCGGACUUUCAUCAUGCUGGUUUCCAGUUUUGAUGAAGGAAAGUCUUGCGAACCUUAUCAUUUAGAGGAAGGAGAAGUCGUAACA
rnacentral:rRNA from 1 species